UACGAAGGGGGGCGAGCGUUGUUCGGAAUUACUGGGCGUAAAGGGCGCGUAGGCGGCUUACCAAGUCAGGCGUGAAAUUCCCGGGCUCAACCUGGGGGCUGCGCUUGAUACUGGUGAGCUUGAAUACGGGAGAGGAUAGUGGAACUUCCCAGUGUAGAGGUGAAAUUCGUAGAUAUUGGGAAGAACACCAGUGGCGAAGGCGGCUAUCUGGCCCGUUA
rnacentral:rRNA from 1 species